AGGGGCAGCAUGAUUUGUAGCAAUACAGAUUGAUGGCGACCGGCGCACGGGUGAGUAACGCGUAUGCAACUUACCUAUCAGAGGGGGAUAGCCCGGCGAAAGUCGGAUUAAUACCCCAUAAAACAGGGGUCCCGCAUGGGAAUAUUUGUUAAAGAUUCAUCGCUGAUAGAUAGGCAUGCGUUCCAUUAGGCAGUUGGCGGGGUAACGGCCCACCAAACCGACGAUGGAUAGGGGUUCUGAGAGGAAGGUCCCCCACAUUGGUACUGAGACACGGACCAAACUCCUACGGGAGGCAGCAGUGAGGAAUAUUGGUCAAUGGCCGAGAGGCUGAACCAGCCAAGUCGCGUGAAGGAAGAAGGAUCUAUGGUUUGUAAACUUCUUUUAUAGGGGAAUAAAGUGGAGGACGUGUCCUUUUUUGUAUGUACCCUAUGAAUAAGCAUCGGCUAACUCCGCGCCAGCAGCCGCGGUAAUACGGAGGAUGCGAGCGUUAUCCGGAUUUAUUGGGUUUAAAGGGUGCGUAGGUGGUGAUUUAAGUCAGCGGUGAAA
rnacentral:rRNA from 1 species